rnacentral:misc_RNA from 1 species
ACACUGACUGUAGCCGGUGUAACGGCUAACCUGCAAGCACGAGAUCGAGCGAGACCUUGGGAACGACCUCUGGUUUCGCAUUACGUUUCCAUCGUCCGUCAUUGACCUUUUCGUCCCGACAAGGAGCCGGAGUUUUUAGUGGUGUUCGAGGAGGCUCCUCCGCGAAGGUGGAAAUAUCUCGUCGGGCCCUGAAGAGAAGAGAACGCUCCCAAGGAAUCAGUUCUCACUUACACCUCUUCUGAGGGAAACAAGAGAUGUUGCGGACUACUGCGAGCCUGCGUAACGACUUGGCGCGUGUCACGCUGAGAAACACUCCGCGAUUAAAUGCCGCCAGAUGCCUAACCACGCGAUGUCUUCACAGAAAACACCUUCAAAGACUUCAGGUCCGGGAUCCCCGUCAUUCCACGGUAACCCCAUGGACCCAGCAACUAAGGUUCUAUGCAGAUUACCCAAGCCAUGUGAAAGUGAAUCUUCCUGCGUUAUCACCUACAAUGGAAGUGGGGACUAUCGUGACUUGGCAGAAGAAGGAAGGUGACCAAUUGAACGAGGGAGAUCUACUAGCCGAAAUCGAAACCGACAAAGCCACUAUGGCUUUUGAGACCCCCGAAGAGGGAUACCUAGCAAAAAUACUCGUACCUGCAGGGACUAAAAACGUUCCCAUAGGCAAAUUAGUCUGUAUUAUCGUGCCCGAUAAGAACAGCGUAGAUGCUUUUAAGGACUAUAAAGAUGAUGGUGUUGCAUCGGCAUCUCCUGCACCGCCAGCCCCAGCUGCACCUGCACCAGCCCCACCUACACCAGCUCCAUCUACACCAGCUCCACCUGCUCCACCUGCUCCACCUGUAGCUGCUGCGCCACCAAAACCUGCUACGGCACCUCCACCUGCGGUUUCUAAAACAGGGGACAGAGUUUAUGCUAGUCCACUGGCAAAAAGAUUAGCUGCAGAAAAAGGCCUCAAUUUAGAGGGUUUGAAAGGUUCGGGGUUGUUCUCCUCGAUCACGACGAAGGACUUGGAGGGUGCUCCAGCUGCUGCAGGUGUUGCAGCCGUUUCUGCUGCAUCUCCAGCUUCCGUAGCUGCUGGGUCAGAUAUUCCGGUCUCCAACAUAAGAGCGGUCAUUGCCAAACGACUACAAGAAAGCAAAUCGACGAUUCCUCAUUACUACCUUACAGUCGACGUGCAGAUGGACGCCGCUCUCAGUAUGCGAGAGCAGUUCAAUAAGUUACUGGAGAAGGAGAAGUUGAAGUUGAGUGUAAACGACAUCAUCAUCAAGGGCAUUGCGAUGGCGUCCAAAAAGGUGCCCGAAGGGAAUUCCGCCUGGCUUGGGGAUGUCAUCAGACAAUACAAUCACGUAGACGUUAGCGUAGCUGUAAGUACAGAUAGUGGCUUGAUAACGCCGAUAGUCUUUGCGGCCGACACAAAGGGUAUUGCCCAAAUCAGCAAAGAAGUGAAGGCCCUGGCUGUAAAGGCGAGGGAGGGUAAGCUACAACCCCAUGAGUUCCAAGGGGGCACCAUCACCGUGUCCAACCUGGGGAUGUUCGGGAUAAAGAACUUCUCCGCCAUCAUAAACCCACCACAGUCGAUAAUUCUUGCGGUGGGAAACACAGAAAAGAGAUUGAUCCCUGCAGACAACGAGAAAGGGUUCACCACUGCACAAUACAUGUCUGUAACGGCAAGUUGUGAUCAUCGCACUGUUGAUGGAGCGGUGGGUGCUCUUUGGCUGGCGGCGUUCAAGAACUUAAUGGAGAACCCAACAACGAUGCUCUUGUAGAAAAGUCUUACGACAGAUCAGAAGGGUUGAUUUCGAAAAUGUCGGGGAACGAUGCAGAUCAGUAGUGAUGCGUGCUGGUCAUACAUCGAGCCUAGGUGACGACAGGCGUAGAAAUCGCUGAAAUGUGCAUGCCGAUUGCGAACCACGUCUGGAUAGGCAAGCUCGAUCGUAAUGUCCGUUUUGCGACUGCCUUCGAGUAUUCAAAGGAUUGUACAGUUGUUUCAUAUUAACUUUAUCCAAGGCUAGGCUUACAUCCUUACAGUACAAAUCGAGUCGUGCUAUUUUCCUUGGAUAUGCGAAUGUAUUUAUAUCGCGACUACUCCGGUUACGGUUACCUAUGGUAAUCGCUUGUACAUAUGCUAAUUUAACCUGUUAUGGAGGAACCUGUAAUAAAAUUAGAAAUUCUUCCCUGCAAGGGAAAUCGUGGAAAGAUAUAUAAUGUGUAUAGUACCGAUAGGCGAGUUAUGUGUGUGUACAACGAGCGAUUUAUUUAAUAAAUUAUGCCGUGAGGAUAAUUGUA